rnacentral:lncRNA from 10 species
UAAUUCUCUCAUUCAACAAUUUUUUAGCCCCUAUUAGACUCUGGCACCAUUCUAGGAAUUGGUGGACAAGGCAGACUCCCUGCCUUCAUGGAGCUAGAAGGUAGUGCAGAUGGUGACAAUGAUUAUUAAACAAAUAAAAACACUGCUGGAAUUUAGGCAAGAUGGAGGACCUCCAUGAGGCUGGGCUAUGAAAUGAUGGAGGAGAGGAUGGGAAUUACAGGGUGGUCGUGGUAACGGAUAUUAGAGCAGAUAAGAGAUUAGCAGGAACAUGACUAAAGAGAGGGAGAAGGAAAUGUGAACAUCCGGCGGCCGGGGUUCUUGGUAGAAAAACCAGUAAGUGCAAAGACAUCAGACGUGGACAUGAGCUUGGUAUGUUUAGAAAACAAUGUGGCUGGGGAGGAGCAGCACGAAGGAGCCCAAGAGAGGAUAAGCAGAGCUGAUUUGGGGACCUGAUCAUGAAGAACCGUGAAGGACUUGAGAAAAGUUGUAAAGUCCUCUGCUGGGACUGAGAAUGACAGAGGGGCUAUUGGGCACCCAACGAGAGGAAGAAGUAUGGAAUGGACAUUCGGGAGAUAAGGAUAAAAAGCAUACAGAUGUAUUUGAUCAUAGUUCGAUGUGACGUAGGAGCCUUCAGAAUGAAGAACCAAAAACACAGGAGAAGCCGCAAAUCUUUAUGCUUAGGUUCAACACAGGGUGGACAGCUGUGUGGAGAUAAGUUUGGACAAAAAGGAUGUGAUCUAAUGCUGAUAGGCUGAGUGGGGACUCAGCAGGGCCUGUCUGUCCGGAUUCUUCUUGGCCUCUCUGAGCAGCAUUCCUUCCUUCUGGGUAUGUGGCAGGACCCUCUCUGGAAUUACAGUCUUACCACCUACAGUCAAACAGAGUAGGUCAGAUAAUUUCUUUCUUUCAAUGUUUUAUUUUCAAUUCCGGGGGUACGUGUGCUUGUUUGUUACAUGGGAAUUGCUCGUGAAAUGAGGAGGACUGGGCCUCUAGUGAACCCAUCACCCAAAUGUUGAACACUGUACCCAACAGGAAAUUUUUCAACACUCACUCCUCUCCCACCCUCCCCCCUUUUGGAGUUCCCAGUGUCUAUUAUCUCCAUGUUCAUGUCCACGUGUAUCCAUUGUUUCACUGCCUCUUACAGGUGAGAACAUGCGAUAUUUGAUCUGCUUCUGAGUUAGUUCCCUUAGGAUAAUGGCCUCCAGCUCCAACCAUGUUGCACAAAGGCCAUGAUUUCAUUCUUUUUUAUGGAUGCAUAGUAUCCCAUGGUAUAUGCAUCACAUUUUCUUCUAGUCCAUCAUUGGUGGACACUUAGUUUGAUGACUUUGCUAUUGUGUAUAGAGUUGCAAUAAAUAUACAAAUGCAGGUGCCUUUUUUAAUAUAAUGCUUUAUUUUCCUUUGGGCAGAUAUCCAGUAGUGGGAUUUCUGGGUUGAAUGGUAGUUCUAUUUUUGGUUCUUUGAGAAAUCCCCAUACUGUUUUCCAUAGAGGUGGAACUAAUUUACAUUCCCACCAACAGUACAUAAGCAUAAAGCAUGUUUACUAUACUAAUAUAUGACUGUGCCAGAUUAACUCUUUAUAAUAGGAAUGAGAAACACAUUGAUAAAUGCCAACCCUGGUCCUCAUGGAGACAGAGAAGCUGGCAGCCAAUUCCAUAGGAUAAGUGCCUUCAGAGAUAUAAGCAAGGAGCUGUUAUGCCACAGGAGAGGGAGAAAGGAACUGCUGGGGGAACUUAAAAGGGUGACAUAAGACACAGCCUCUGAGGUGGAUUGGAAAAGAUGGCUAUAAACUUG